UGCCCAGUCCGCGAACUGGCCAUUUUUUUUGCCCAGUCCGCGGACUGGCCGGUGGAAAUUUGCAAAAUUACGCCAACGGGCCACCCCUAAUUUUAAAGACGCUUAUGAUGACUAACCGGAAGAUAAACAUCACAACAAUUUAACCUUCACACUUUGUACAGGCUUAGGACUGUCAGCCGAUGAGGAAAAAUUUCUAAUUUAUUGAACAAAAUGAAAAAGAAACUUCUUCUUAAUUUUUAUUUGAUUUUCGUACUUCUAAAACAAAAUAAAAUUUUUCCUCCUCGGUUCGGUUCACCAUUUUCUCCGCCUGUUUCUUCAAGUUUACGCUGGCUUUUUCUCUAGCAACAAUCGCAGGAUGUUUGUCAGGGGCGGAUUCACUUUCCAUGGGCAAUUUUUCCGUUUGGGGCACUUGAUUGGCGGAAACUUCGGACUUUUCAGGGCCGGAGUCACUUUCCACGGUCAAUUUUUCCGUUUGAGGCACUUGACUGGUGGAAACUUCGGACUUUUCAGGGCCGGAGUCAGAAUCGACUGAUUGAGCAGCAUCAACUAUUUCAACCGGCAAAGUUUCAAUCUGAAUAAAUUGAGUGGCUGGUACUGCUGAGUUAUCAGGGACAACAUCCAGACAAGGUCUCUUACGAAGAGGUCCAUCGAUAGUGGUUUCAUCGGGCAUUUCAACAGGUAAAAAGGCAUCUACAGAAAUCCCACCCUCGACCUCUACAAUUGCUUCGCUUUCAGCUGCAGAAAUCAUUUCCAUCAACUCCUCUUCCAAAGUUCCUGAGCUGAUUUCUUCUAAAAAGCAGGAGGGCAAAGAAGAACCUAAACCAAGUUUGGCUUUUUCUCCAAAAACCGCUUCGUAGGGUUGCAUUUUAAUAGCUUCGUGGUAGCAAGUGUUCAAGUUCCAUUGCACGAGUCUUCUGUUUCACCCGCGGUAAUUUUUAACCACGCCGACCGAGGAGGAAAAAUUUUAUUUUGUUUUAGAAGUACGAAAAUCAAAUAAAAAUUAAGAAGAAGUUUCUUUUUCAUUUUGUUCAAUAAAUUAGAAAUUUUUCCUCAUCGGCUGACAGUCCUAAGCCUGUACAAAGUGUGAAGGUUAAAUUGUUGUGAUGUUUAUCUUCCGGUUAGUCAUCAUAAGCGUCUUUAAAAUUAGGGGUGGCCCGUUGGCGU
rnacentral:lncRNA from 1 species